CGUUUUCAUUUAGAUUCUGUUUCGAUCAAAAACGAAAUUUUCUUGUUGUUUCUUCUCGGGGUGAAAAGGAAGAACAUCUUCUUCAUCUAUAGCAUUGAUUAAAUCGAACUCUGAUCCGCCAUGGCUGCCAGGAUUCUUGCCAACUUAAUUGUAAUGGGGUCGGGUAUAUUGGCUCGAGCUGUUGUUCAGGCAUACCGUCAAGCACUUGCAAAUGCUGCGAAAUCUGGUGUUACUCAUGAAACACUACAAAAUGCCGCCCGCCGAGCUGGUAGAGUCAUGACGGAGCAAGAAGCUAGGCAGAUUCUUGGUGUAAGCGAGGAUACCGCCUGGGAGGAGAUAAUGAAGAAGUAUGACCAUUUAUUUGAGAAGAAUGCCAAGGUCGGGAGCUUCUACCUUCAGUCAAAGGUUCAUCGGGCUAAGGAGUGCUUAGAAGCCGCCUAUCGAGCCAAAGGAGAGGGCAGUCCUCCUAGUUGAGAAUCCAUCCAGGUUUACUCGUUUCACAUACAGAUGUCCAUUUGUAAUCUAAUACCUGACUAAAAAAGGCUCUUGAAGAUUUAA